AUGGCGAAGGCCGGCGGGGGCCUGAUCUGGGCGACGGCGGAGGACCUGGCGCGGAACCGGCCGGUGGUGCUGUCCAUGUACCGGCAGAUCCUGCGGGCGCUCAACUCGCCGGCGCUGCCGCUGGGCCACGCGGCGCGGCUGGCCAAGAAGGCCGAGUGCCGCGCCAUCUUCAUCUUCGGCGCCGAGGAGAGGUCGCUGCACAACAUCCAGGACCUCCUCGCCGCCGCGCGCCACACCCUCGGCCUCCUCAACCGCGGCCGCGUCCCCUAG
rnacentral:rRNA from 1 species